UACGUAGGGUGCGAGCGUUAAUCGGAAUUACUGGGCGUAAAGCGUGCGCAGGCGGUUUUGUAAGUCGGAUGUGAAAUCCCCGGGCUCAACCUGGGAACUGCGUUCGAAACUGCAAGGCUAGAGUGUGUCAGAGGGGGGUAGAAUUCCACGUGUAGCAGUGAAAUGCGUAGAGAUGUGGAGGAAUACCAAUGGCGAAGGCAGCCCCCUGGGAUAACACUGACGCUCAUGCACGAAAGCGUGGGGAGCAAACAGGAUUAGAUACCCUGGUAGUCCACGCCCUAAACGAUGUCAACUAGUUGUUGGUAGAGUAAAAUCUAUGAGUAACGUAGCUAACGCGUGAAGUUGACCGCCUGGGGAGUACGGUCGCAAGAUUA
rnacentral:rRNA from 1 species